rnacentral:misc_RNA from 1 species
AAAUCUCAACCUCCUUGGUUUCUUUUUGAGAUCAAAGGAGGCUUGGACUUUGGAGGCCUUUGCUGGCGUCUCUCUCCAGCUCCUCUUGAAUGAAUUAGCGGGGUCCUCUUUGCCGACCCUUGACAUGUGAUAAGAUGUUUCCGUGUCUUGGUUUCUGGCUCUGUCGCCCUUGGGAUCCGCUUCUAACCGUCUCAACUCGAGACAAUGUUCGAGCCCGUCUCCCUUCUUGGGAAACCUCUCUCGGCCCCACGAAC